rnacentral:rRNA from 1 species
UACGAAGGGGGCUAGCGUUGCUCGGAAUCAUUGGGCGUAAAGGGUGCGUAGGCGGUCGGGUAAGUCGGAUGUGAAAUCUCAGGGCUCAACCCUGAAACUGCAUUCGAUACUGCUUGGCUAGGGUACUGGAGAGGAGACUGGAAUUUACGGUGUAGCAGUGAAAUGCGUAGAUAUCGUAAGGAAGACCAGUGGCGAAGGCGAGUCUCUGGACAGUUACCGACGCUGAGGCACGAAGGCCAGGGGAGCAAACGGG